AGGGAUGUAGUGCAAGCUGCAUUCUCUGUAGCCAAGCUUAUGGGAUCCCAGAGCUGAGCAGUUGAACCUCCCUGAGGGUGGGAAGACAGAUGCAGGGAUCCCAGACGCAGCACAACAUAUUAAACGCUCAGUGACAGGACCAGGUCCUGUGACCACUGACUGUGCUGAGACUGCCCACGUGAUGAUUCUGAUCAUCAAACCCGAAAGGAGCUGUCAAAUACAGUGACGCCAUUGACAUCAAAAUCAAGGCCCCAGGCCGCAGGCUCAUAGACAACAUGAAUCACAAGAUACAAAAUCUUAUUUUCUUUCACUGGCAAUGAUGUCAAUAAAGGGGAUCAUGCCUCCAUUGCUUGUAGAAUUUCAAACUUGUACCAGUACUCUAGAAAUC